GAUGAACGCUGGCGGCGUGCCUAAUACAUGCAAGUCGAGCGAACGGACGAGAAGCUUUCGUCUUUGAUGUUAGCGGCUGACGGGCGGGUAAGACGUGCAUAACCUACCUAUAUGUCUUGGAUAACUUCGGGAAACCGGUUCUAAUACCGGCGAAUAUUUUCAACGGGAUGGUGCAAGAGUUAUUGGGACUUUGCGCGUCUCUAUUAGAUGGUUUCGCGCUGCAUUAGCUAGUUGGUAAGGUAACGGCUUACCAAGGCAACGAUGCAUAGCCGACCUGAGAGGAUGAUCAGCCACACUGGAACUGAGACACGGUCCAGACUCCUACGGGAGGCAGCAGUAGGGAAUAUUCGGCAAUGGGCGAAAGCCUGACGGAGCCACACCGCGUGAGUGAUGAAGGUCUUCGGAUCGUAAAGCUCUGUUGUUGGGGAAGAAAAUAUGUGUAAGUAAAUGUGCACGUCCUGACGGUACCUAAUCAGAAAGCAACGGCUAACUACGUG
rnacentral:rRNA from 1 species